rnacentral:rRNA from 1 species
UACGAAGGGGGCGAGCGUUGUUCGGAAUUACUGGGCGUAAAGCGUGCGCAGGCGGCUCCUUAAGUCAGAUGUGAAAGCCCCGGGCUUAACCUGGGAACUGCGUUUGAAACUGGGGAGCUAGAGUGUAGAAGAGGGGGGUGGAAUUCCAGGUGUAGCAGUGAAAUGCGUAGAUAUCUGGAGGAACACCGAUGGCGAAGGCGGGUCUCUGGGGCAUAACUGACGCUGAGGAGCGAAAGCAUGGGGAGCGAACAGG